UUGUUUCGCGCGUGUUAAUUCGCUAAUAAUUAAAGAGGAUCAGACGAUUGUGUAAGGGACGAAACCUCUUGAGACAAAGUCCCAAAAAGGGGUGUUCUUUUUAUUGGUGAUGAACUUUACAAUUGGAAACGGAAAACAACGUGCCUCCAAGGGGCGCAAGCACACGAGUUACAGAAAAGGAAGUGUUUAAGUCUAAAAGCUAAAGGAAUGAAAAUUACAUAUUCUCUGUUCGAGAGUUUUGGAUUCGAUCCUUUGCUUCUAUGUUCUUUCUCCCUUUUAUACUUCAUAGGUGAUCCCUUUGUGAUUAACUGCUUUAAAAAAACUGCCUGAUCGCCCUAUAACUACCCACUUUCUUUGUAGUGGCCAUUUUGUCAUGAAACUGUCCUUUUAACUACUGCCAUUAUCUUGCAUCGUUCAACCGCUUUCGAUUGAACCCCUUGAGUCGUGGAACGUGAUAAGGUUACUUUAGCAACUGCCUCAAUAACUGCAUUUCUUGACAAUCAUAAUGCGUUAUGUUUGUUGAUACCUUGGGCGACUUGAAGAUUUGGGCGAGACUCUGGGUGACCGUAUGCCACUCUAUUCGUUCAGAUUUUGAGCGACUUGCAAACUUGGGCGAUGGCGUUACCGCACUAUUGGGCCCCUUAUUUGGGCAUUCACCUUAAUUCGUUCAAUUGGAUUUCGUUCUUUGGGCUGUCUGAUUUGGGGAUCCUCCAAUUGGGCUUUACUCUCUGGGCUAUUCGAUUUGGGCUGAAUUUUUAUGUGUC
rnacentral:lncRNA from 1 species